GAGUUCAGGAACAGAGGACCUUGAGUGCAAGGGAACAGCUGGCCCACCGCCACUUGUCCAACAGCUUCGGCAUUAUUGAACGAUGGACUCAGAUAAAACUCAUUGAGGUCAGCAUUAGCUUGUGCAAGGAAGUUUGGAUUUACAUACGGCCUAGUAAGGAUUUUCUGGAAGUCUUCGAAACUAAAAGAAUCAUCAGAUUGAGUUUGUGAAGUCGCCAUUGGGAACAAAGUACAGUUUUUUAAGGUUUGCCUGAGAAACGUAGCAGAGAAGUAAGAAGAUGAACAGUAAAAUAGCGAGGAUGAAGCGCGAAAUAUAGAGACGUGGUUUGGUGGUGCGAUGAAAUGGCGUGUCUUUUGGGUUUAGAAGGGUUUGUAACGUUACACCUUUUCAGGCUGUAGAAGGAAAUAAUAAUUGAAAUUCUUGGGAAUUUCAAAUAUUGCUACAAAAUACGAAGUGAAUAAGGCAAAGAUUAAUAAUUGAUAUUAAUUCUGCCAUACUGGGGGGUAAUUGUUGACACACUAAAAGUAUAGCCCAAAUCAAAUAGCACAAAGAGUGAAGCCCAAUUGGGGAAUUCAGGAUAAAGGUCCAAACAGGAUUAUUGAUGAAUGCGACGGAAGCCCACGAACACGGUAACAUCAUCGCCCAAGCUUGCAAAAUGCCCAGAAUCUGAGCAAAUGGAGUACCUUACGGUCGUCUAGAGCGAUGACCCCGUUCUCACCCAAACCUUCGAAUCGCCCAGGAUCUUAACAAGUAUAAAACAUUAUGGUUAUUCAGAAUAGCAGUUUAUUGAAGCAGUUAUUGAGUGAUCUUAUCACAUUCCACGAUUCAAGGAGUCCAAAUGAAGGCGGUUGAACGACAAAGAGUUAUGACAACAGUUAGAGAGCAGUUCCAC
rnacentral:lncRNA from 1 species